rnacentral:rRNA from 1 species
GGCGAAGGGCGGGUGCUAUACAUGCGUCGAGCGGACAGAAGGGAGCUUGCUCCCGGAUGUUAGCGGCGGACGGGUGAGUAACACGUGGGUAACCUGCCUGUAAGACUGGGAUAACUCCGGGAAACCGGAGCUAAUACCGGAUAGUUCCUUGAACCGCAUGGUUCAAGGAUGAAAGACGGUUUCGGCUGUCACUUACAGAUGGACCCGCGGCGCAUUAGCUAGUUGGUGGGGUAAUGGCUCACCAAGGCGACGAGCGUAGCCGACCUGAGAGGGUGAUCGGCCACACUGGGACUGAGACACGGCCCAGACUCCUACGGGAGGCAGCAGUAGGGAAUCUUCCGCAAUGGACGAAAGUCUGACGGAGCAACGCCGCGUGAGUGAUGAAGGUUUUCGGAUCGUAAAGCUCUGUUGUUAGGGAAGAACAAGUGCGAGAGUAACUGCUCGCACCUUGACGGUACCUAACCAGAAAGCCACGGCUAACUACGUGCCAGCAGCCGCGGUAAUACGUAGGUGGCAAGCGUUGUCCGGAAUUAUUGGGCGUAAAGGGCUCGCAGGCGGUUUCUUAAGUCUGAUGUGAAAGCCCCCGGCUCAACCGGGGAGGGUCAUUGGAAACUGGGAAACUUGAGUGCAGAAGAGGAGAGUGGAAUUCCACGUGUAGCGGUGAAAUGCGUAGAGAUGUGGAGGAACACCAGUGGCGAAGGCGACUCUCUGGUCUGUAACUGACGCUGAGGAGCGAAAGCGUGGGGAGCGAACAGGAUUAGAUACCCUGGUAGUCCACGCCGUAAACGAUGAGUGCUAAGUGUUAGGGGGUUUCCGCCCCUUAGUGCUGCAGCUAACGCAUUAAGCACUCCGCCUGGGGAGUACGGUCGCAAGACUGAAACUCAAAGGAAUUGACGGGGGCCCGCACAAGCGGUGGAGCAUGUGGUUUAAUUCGAA